rnacentral:lncRNA from 13 species
UGAGUAUAUAAACUAUAAAUACAUAAUAAUUUUUCUAUUACUGCCUAGAAGCAUUAUUUCUAGCUAUAUUAUAUCAAUCAGCCAAUAACAUGAAUAUGAAUACUGAUGGCAACACUACCUAAUGUUUAUGGUAUUACCAGGAGAAGGGACUAGAGGAUUUGUGAUUUAUCUGUUGCCUUGAUUUAGUGACUCAACUUUCUGUACAUUGAAAGUUGCCUUUAAUAAAAAAAAAAGUAUUUGACUUCUUAUUAUGAAGUCACAGUGGAUGUGAUGUAUGAGAUACAGAUCUUUUAACAGUAGAAUCUUUGUUCAUUUAUGUACUCACUUGGUCACUCACUGAUGACAACUAAUUGUCCUCAGAGCUGUGGCUUGGCAUUGGAAGAACCAUGAUGAACAGACAGAGACUGCCCUCAUAAAACUUACAGGCUCAUGUCAGAACAGACAUUAAGCUAAAUAUUCAGACAAAUAAGUGCAAAAUUGCAACUGCUAUUGCCUCCUCCUCUGAUUUACUUGAGCCAGUGUUUGAGUAAACUUCUUGCCUGGAAAAAUUACAGUCACCAAACUAAUUCAGUUACUGUUCAGAAUAAAUACACAGGGUCUGCUGGAGACCUUGGCAUUUUACUUCCCGGACAUAACUUUAUUCUGCUGGAGCAAUGCUCACAUUGCUCUGGAAACACUGGAAAAUCUCAAGAUGCAGGUCAGUCUGCUCCAUGGAUGAGUAUGAGGCCCCAAGCCAUCUCUCAAACUAAAGAUUCCCCAGCCAGAUAAUGCUGAAGAGUCUUCAACAAGGCAAUAUGAUUACUCUGUGUGCUUAGAAGAAGAGGGAUUAUAAAUGUCAGCUGUUGCUCUUUGACUCCUGCUGAUUGAUUCAUUGAUUCAUCUUUCCAACAGGCGUGUGCUGCAAGUUGAUUAUACUGAAUGACACUGCGGAG